AAGCUCUAGACCUCAGCCAAAAUCAGAUUGAAGGUCAAUUUCCAAAGUCUCUAGCCAGGUGCAGAUGGUUAAAAUUUUUAAACCUUGCAGAGAAUCAGAUAACAGACACCUUCCCAUGCUUGUUAAAGAACAUCUCUGACUUGAGGGUUCUUGCUUUGCGGUCCAACAAUUUCUAUGGGGGCAUUGGAUGUCCAGUAGUGAAGACCAAUGCCACCUGGUCAGCUCUUCAAAUCAUAGACUUAGCUUACAACAAUUUCAAUGGUGAAGUACCAGGAUUCCCUCUGACAACAUGGCAAGCAAUGAAGGGUAACAGAGAUAUUAGUGAUUCUAACUAUAUAGAGUUAUCUUCUCUUGGGCAUGGGCAUAUAUCCACUUCUACGAGUGCGGCUCUAAAUCCUAAUGAACCUGCGUACGGUGAUCGCGCAGUGUUUACAUUUUCUUAUGAGCCUGCUAUAACGAUUACAAGCAAAGGUUUAAAGUGGGAUCUGGCAAAGAUUAUAAGUGUCUUGACCUUGAUUGACUUCUCAUGCAACAAUUUCAGUGGGUCAAUUCCCAAGGAAAUGGGAGCUCUGAAAUCUUUAUAUUUUCUCAACUUGUCGAGUAAUGCUUUCACAGGUGAAAUCCCAUCGUCAUUUGGUAACAUGCGACAACUCGAGUCCUUGGACCUGUCACAUAACAAGCUGAGCGGGCAAAUCCCACAACAGCUGGCAAAUCUUAGUUUCCUUGCAUUCCUGAAUCUCUCGAAUAAUCAACUUGUCGGCAAGAUCCCAGCUGGUACUCAAAUUUCAACAUUUCCAAGAGACUCAUUUACGGGGAACAAAAGGUUAUGGGGGCCUCCGCUGACGGUGGAUAAUAAAGCAGGACUGUCACCACCACCAUUAAAUGGAAGCCGUCCAAAUUCUACAAAUGAGAUUGAUUGGGAUCUUAUUAGUGUCGAAAUUGGAUUUGUAUUUGGCUUUGCAGUUGCUGUUGGGUCACUUGUGUUCUUCAAGAGAUGGAGUAAAUGGUAUUACAGGGCUAUGUAUAAAAUCCUUGUGAGGAUAUUCCCUCAGCUUGAAGAAAGAAUUGGUCCUCAUCGAAGACAUGUUCACAUAAAUCAGAGGUGGAGACGUUGAAAUGUUUAUGAGGAGCAAGCAGCUGGACUCCAUGUUGUGCCUAGGGUAAGAUCCAACAAAUAAAGUACGGUUUCACAUUUUGAUAUAUAACUUGUGUUGUAAUUAGGUUUGGAAGUUAUUUUGUAUCUUUCUGCAUUAUGGUUAAUAAAUUUUCCUUGUAUUAUCGAGGUUUCUUAAAAAACGAAAAGAACAAGCCUACUAACCAUGCCUUAUGCGCACAUUUCGAAUUCCAUUUUAACACUUUUCUAGGAUGGACACUCAAACACAUGAGCAAGGAAAAAGGGUUAUCAUGUUGUUUGAAUUUGUGAUGCAUUAUAUCUUUUAUCUGUUGGUUUUGCACCCUUUUUUCUACCCUGUCUAGUUUGCUUUCUUUGGAUAUCGAAAUCAGUCGAGAUCAAGAGUCAACAAGGAAAUGGAUACACAUACGAAAUCAGUAUUGAAUCAAACAAUUUUAAUUAUUUAUAAUUCUUUUGUUUGUUCUCCCUUGUUUUGGCUUUGGUUUGUGAGAAAAUUAGCUCUUUUCUGUUGUGUGUUUGUACACAGUCUUUGAUUUUAAAUGUUUGCUCUGUUUUUCAUGCACUGGUCAAGUUCUGUUUAUAUAUUAUCGCUGAAUUUCAGUGGUCAGGUUCUCUCCAUGAUCACGUCGAAUCCUUAUGAAAAUGAAUCCAGAACAAAAUCGCGCUAAAGCUAGGGCGUCACCCGUAAGUGGCGCGCUGUGUGGCCCGAGCACAGUGAUAAGUGAGCAAGGGUCGCUGUAUCUCCAUCGGCACCCGGAUGCAGUGUUAAAUGAGCAAGGGGGCCGUAGAAACUUCUUUUCGAACGACUCCACUCAAAGUUGUUUGGGAGCAUAUGCUCCUAUCAACUUUACACGGGACACACAAAAGAAGUACUUUAAUCCUAUUAGACGGGGGAGGGUGAAGAAGCUAAGACAGAAGGGUAGAGUUCAAGAGAGCAAAUUGCGUUUAGGAACGUGGAAUAUAGGAACCUUAACGGGAAAAUCUAUGGAAGUAGUGGAAGUUAUGGUGAGGAGAAGGAUAAAUAUUAUGUGCCUACAAGAAACUAAGUGGGUUGGUAGUAAGACAAAGGAUCUAGAAAACUCAGGGUUUAAACUUUGGUAUUCGGGUACAAAUAGAACGAGAAACGGUGUUGGCAUCAUCGUGGACAAGACCUUGACACAAGAUGUUGUAGAUGUCAAGAGGGUAGGAGAUAGAAUCAUGGCAAUCAAGAUUGUAAUAGGACAAGAACUUAUCAAUGUGAUUAGUGCGUACGCACCUCAAGUAGGGUUGGAUACGAGUUCGAAGGAGAAAUUUUGGGAAGACCUUGGAGACUUGGUGCAAGGAAUUGCUCAGACGGAGAAGUUAUUUAUAGGAGGAGAUCUAAAUGGACACGUGGGCAGGGAGACAGGCAACUAUGGAGGUUUUCAUGGUGGCCAUGGUUUUGGGGAGAGAAACAAGGAUGGGGAAGCUAUCUUGGAUUUUGCAAUGGCAUAUGAUCUCUUUUUAGCCAACACCUUCUUUAAGAAGAGAGAAGAACAUGUGAUCACCUACAAGAGUGGGUCGUCAAAAAACACAAAUAGAUUUUCUUCUAAUGAGGAAAGGGGAUCGUAUAACUUGUAAGGAUUGCAAAGUUAUACCAGGAGAGAGCGUGGCUAAUCAACAUCGCUUGUUGGUGAUGGAUGUACAUAUCAAAAGAGGGAGACAAAAGAACAAGACUUGGAAGUGCCCAAGGACUAGAUGGUGGAAUCUAAAAGAAGAAAAACAAGCCAUUUUCAAAAAGAGAAGGUAAUCACCCAAUGUGUGUGGGAUAGAGAGGGGGAAGCUAGCCAAAUGUGGGAUUCCAUGGCUAGUUGUAUCCGAAAAGUAGCAAAAGAGGUAUUAGGAGAGUCCAAGGGCUUUGCCCCACACCAAAAGGAAUCUUGGUGGUGGAAUGAGGAGGUACAAACAAAGGUGAAGGUUAAGAAGGAAUGUUGUAAAGCCUUAUACAAGGAGAGGACCGAUGAAAAUGGUGAAAGGUAUAGAAAAGCGAAGCAAGAGGCGAAGAAAGCGGUCAGAGAAGCUAAGUUAGCGGCUUACGACGAUAUGUAUAAACGACUAGAUACCAAAGAAGGAGAGUUGGAUAUCUAUAAACUAGCUAGAGCAAGGGAAAAGAAGACAAGGGACCUAAACCAAGUGAGGUGCAUCAAGGAUGAGGAUGGAAAGGUUCUUGCUACAGAGAACGCGGUUAAAGACAGAUGGAGAGGUUAUUUUCAUAAUCUUUUCAAUGAAGGACAUGAAAGGAGUGCUUCUUUAGGGGAGUUGAGUAACUCAGAAGAGUGUAGAAACUACUCUUUUUUUAUCGUCGAAUCCGGAAGGAAGAAGUGGUUGUAGCUUUGAAGAAGAUGAAGCAUAGAAAAGCAAUAGGCCCAGACGAUAUACCAAUCGAAGUGUGGAAAGUUUUGGGAGAGACAGGUAUAACAUGGCUCACUGACCUUUUCAAUAGGAUUUUGAAAACGAAGAAGAUGCCCAAAUGAGUGGCGAACGAGCACUUUGGUGCCUAUCUACAAGAAUAAGGGCGACGUACAAAAUUGCAUGAACUAUAGGGGUAUUAAGUUAAUGAGUCAUACAAUGAAGCUCUGGGAGAGAGUCAUUGAGCAUAGAUUGAGGCAAGAGACACGGGUUUCGGACAACCAAUUCGGGUUCAUGCCAGGGCGCUCAACCAUGGAGGCAAUCUAUCUCUUACGAAGAUUGAUGGAAAGAUAUAGAGAUGGGAAAAAGGAUUUACACAUGGUCUUUAUAGAUUUGGAAAAAGCGUAUGAUAGGGUCCCAAGAGACAUUCUUUGGAGGAUCUUAGAGAAGAAAGGAGUACGAGUAGCAUAUAUCCAAGCUAUAAAGGAUAUGUAUGAAGGAGCAAAGACUGCCGUAAGAACUCAUGAAGGACAAACCGAAAGCUUUCCCAUAACUGUAGGAUUACAUCAAGGCUCAUCCUUAAGUCCUUACCUUUUUGCGUUGGUAAUGGAUGAGUUAACAGGACAUAUUCAAGAUGAUAUUCCUUGGUGUAUGCUUUUCGCAGACGAUAUAGUGUUGAUAGAUGAAACUCAGGAAGGGGUAAAUGCAAAGCUUAACCUUUGGAGAGAAGUGUUGGAAUCUAAAGGUCUUCGCCUAAGCCGAUCAAAGACAGAAUAUAUGGAGUGCAAGUUCAGUGCAGAUGGAGGCCAAAACGAGUUAGGGGUGAGGAUCGGAGAUCAAGAAAUACCAAAGAGCGACCGUUUUCGUUACCUAGGAUCUAUAUUGCAAAAGAACGGAGAAUUAGAUGGAGAUCUCAACCAUAGAAUACAAGCUGGAUGGAUGAAGUGGAAGAGUGCAUCUGGCGUGUUGUGUGACCGCCGUAUGCCACUGAAGCUCAAGAGAAAAUUUUAUAGGACGGCAAUAAGGCCGGCGAUGCUGUAUGGCACAGAAUGUUGGGCGGUGAAGCAUCAACACGUACACAAAAUGGGUGUAGCGGAGAUGAGGAUGCUUCGUUGGAUGUGUGGGCACACGAGAAAGGAUAAGAUUAGGAAUGAGGAUAUCCGGGGUAAAGUAGGAGUAGCCGAAAUUGAAGGAAAGAUGAGAGAAAAUCGGUUACGGUGGUUUGGACAUGUGCAAAGAAGGCCUACUGACGCUCCGAUUAGAAGAUGCGACUAUGGGACAGAGGUUCAGGGCCGAAGGGGUAGAGGAAGACCUAGGAAAACUUUGGAAGAGACUCUAAGAAAAGACUUAGAGUACUUGGAUCUAACGAAGGACAUGACACAGGACCGAGCACAAUGGCGUUCUAAGAUUCAUAUAGCCGAUCCCACUCAGUGACUUGGAUUUUCCAAGUCUCCAACCGAGAAGUUUUCCUCACUCGAAAAAUUAAGGGAACACUACCCCAACCUACAUGCUCCACUCAGAAAGCUUCAACAUACAAGCUUCAACAAAAGAAAAUUCAAAGAACUUAGCGAAGAAGGCUUUGGUGUAUUUAACACAAUACGUUGAAAUGAAGGAAAACUUAUUUAUUGAUAUCCCCGAUAAGCUACAAAUAUGUACAUAUACAUGAGUCAAAAUAAACAAACAAGAUGGAGCCUUCACAAAGGUUGCUUAGGAGAAGUCUCAGCAGUCGGUAGAGCCCCAGAAAGAGAAGGCAUCGGAGGGGGAUCAUUCGGAGCCUCAGUACUGGACAGAACCCUAGAAGGAGGAGGCAUCAGAGGUUGAUCAUUUGGAGCUUCAUUACGCGGUACAGCCCCAGAAGACGAAGGCAAUAAAUGCCUUUGGAACAAACCCACAAAUCUCUGAUGAUCAAGUAAAACCUGACCAUCAGUUUCCUUCAUCUGGUCAAGCUUCCUCUUCAUGUUUGUAGCAUAGUCAUGUGCGAGCCGGUGCAACUGUUUAUUCUCAUGCUUGAGCCCUCUAAUCUCCUGUUUGAGACUCAUCACUUCGGCCGCCAAUGAUUCAACUUGGCGGGUUCGAGCAAAUAGGCGUUGGGCCAUAUUAGACACAGAACCUGCACACUGAACACUGAGAGCCAGUGAAUCCUUAACAGCUAACUCAUCAGACCGUUUGGAAAGUAGUCUGUUAUCUUUGGGAGUGAGAAGGUUCCUGGCCACCACCGCAGCGGUCAUAUCAUUCUUCAUCACGGAAUCCCCAACGGUAAGAGGACCAGUAGGGGAGACGAAGGAUGGGCGCCAUAUGUUGUCUGGAGAAGGCGGGGCUGCCUCUUCAACAAGGUUCAAGUCAAAACGACGGUCGGAGGGGCCAGACAUUUUCAAAGGUAUUGAAGAGAGAAGAGGUCGGACAAAUCAAGAUCUUAGAAGUGCAAGAAUGGAGCUUCUACUGGUGGAGAUUCAAGUGUGCUUUGGAACUUAAUGCCAGCCCCUAUAAAAAGCUGCACUCGACGGAGCUUCAGACAUCGAAGAGGCGCCUGCUCAGAAAUUGAAGAGGUGCCUGCUCAGAAAUCGAAGAGGCGUUUGCUUUCUCAAAAAGCUGGGCUGCUCUGGGCUCCUCAGAGACCACGAGGGCCGAUCUCAGAAAUCGAAGAGGCACCUACUUUUCCAGCCUUGUCAGCACCUGUCACACACGCACACUCAGCUUUGCGGAAAUUAUGGGUAUUCUGUCGAAGACUUCUGGGGAAGUAGAAAAACACAUGAAUCUUACUGUCCAAUCACCCACUUCCCACACGCAGCAAUAGCUCAUGGGUACCACAGAGAACUUUGCCAAAGUUCUCUGCCAAAGUUGAGCACGUGAAGCUUGCAGCUCCCACUACAUCGCUCUGACCAAAAAGGGUAAAAGAAUAGCAAAGAAAACAGCACUAACAAAGUUUAGACCCAUAAAUUUUGAAGGUCUAGCUACCAUAUUAUUACCCACAAGGGUAAAGGAACAGUACCACUGUUGGAUAAUUGGAAAGUCCCUGUGUGUCAACCUCUGUGCCUCGUGGCAAGGUAGACUAGCAAACAUGCCCAACCUUUACUCACAUUCGAGAAAACACUCCCAAUAAGAUUGCUUGCUCCAAAAUCGAAGAGGCACCGUCCUCCGAAUCUCGAGAGCCAGACUCCCAACAUGACUACUUUCUCAAAAAUCGAAGAGAGGGUAAAGGAACAGUACCAUUGCUGGAUAAUUGGAAAGUCCCUGUGUGUCAACCUCUGUGCUUCGUGGCAAGGUAGACUAGCAAACAUGCCCAACCUUUACUCACAUUCGAGAAAACACUCCCAACAAGAUUGCUUGCUCCAAAAUCGAAGAGGCACCGCCCUCCGAAUCUCGAGAGCCAGACUCCCAACAUGAUUACUUUCUCAAAAAUCGAAGAGACACUGCUCCCCGAAUCUCGAGAGCCAGACCCCCAGCAUGAUUGCUUUCUCAAAAAUCGAAGAGGCAUCGUUCUCCGAAUCAAUCGAAGAGGCGCUCGCUUUCUCAAAAGCUGGGCUGCUCAGAGACCACGAGGGCCGAUCUCAGAAAUCGAAGAGGCACCUUCUUUUCUAGCCUUGUCAGCACCUGUCACACGCACACUCAGCUUUGCGGAAAUUAUGGGCAUUCUGUCGAAGACUUCUGGUGAAGUAGAAAGCACAUGAAUCUUACUGUUCAAUCACCCACUUCCCACACGCAACAAUAGCUCAUGGGUACCACAGAUAACUUUGUCAAAGUCUCUGCCAAAGUUGAGCACGUGAAGCUUGCAGCUCCCACUACAUUGCUCUGACCAAGAAAGGUAAAAAAAUAGCAAAGAAACAGCACUAACAAAGUUUAGACACAUAAAUUUUGAAGGUCUAGCUACCAUAUUAUUACCCACAAGGGUAAAGGAACAGUACCACUGCUGGAUAAUUGGAAAGUCCCUGUGUGUCAACCUCCGUGCUUCGUGGCAAGGUAGACUAGCAAACAUGCCCAACAUUUACUCACAUCCGAGAAAA
rnacentral:lncRNA from 1 species